UACGUAGGGGGCAAGCGUUGUCCGGAAUUAUUGGGCGUAAAGAGCUCGUAGGCGGUCUGUUGCGUCCGCUGUGAAAACUCGGGGCUUAACCCCGAGCCUGCAGUGGAUACGGGCAGACUAGAGGUAGGUAGGGGAGAAUGGAAUUCCCGGUGUAGCGGUGAAAUGCGCAGAUAUCGGGAGGAACACCGGUGGCGAAGGCGGUUCUCUGGGCAGUAACUGACGCUGAGGAGCGAAAGCGUGGGGAGCGAACAGG
rnacentral:rRNA from 1 species